rnacentral:rRNA from 1 species
UGGGGAAUCUUGCACAAUGGGGGCAACCCUGAUGCAGCGACGCCGCGUGAGCGAUGAAGCCCUUCGGGGCGUAAAGCUCUUUCGACCGGAACGAUAAUGACGGUACCGGGAGAAGAAGCUGCGGCUAACUACGUGCCAGCAGCCGCGGUAAUACGUAGGGUGCAAGCGUUAAUCGGAAUUACUGGGCGUAAAGCGUGCGUAGGCGGUUUGGCAAGAAAGAUGUGAAAUCCCAGGGCUUAACCUUGGAACUGCAUUGGAAACUGCAGGUCUUGAGUACUGGAGAGGAUGGGGGAAUUCCCGGUGUAGAGGUGAAAUUCGUAGAGAUCGGGAGGAAUAUCAGUGGCGAAGGCGCCCAUCUGGACGGUUACUGACGCUGAGACGCGAAAGCGUG